rnacentral:rRNA from 1 species
AUACAGAGGGUGCGAGCGUUAAUCGGAAUUACUGGGCGUAAAGCGCGCGUAGGCGGCUGAUUAAGUCAGAUGUGAAAUCCCCGGGCUCAACCUGGGAACUGCAUCUGAUACUGGGUAGCUAGAGUUUAGGAGAGGGAAGUAGAAUUUCAGGUGUAGCGGUGAAAUGCAUAGAGAUCUGAAGGAAUACCAGUGGCGAAGGCGGCUUCCUGGCCUAAAACUGACGCUGAGGUGCGAAAGCGUGGGUAGCAGACGGGAUUAGAAACCCCGGUAGUCC